rnacentral:rRNA from 1 species
GGACGAACGCUGGCGGCGUGCCUAACACAUGCAAGUCGAGCGGAGUUGACAAGAGGAAGUUUCGGAUGGAAUUUGUUAAUUAGCGGCGGACGGGUGAGUAACGCGUGAGCGACCAACCUUGCACAGGGGGAUAACGGACCGAAAGGUUCACUAAUACCGCAUGAGACCACGGUGUUGCAUGACACAGGGGUCAAAGGAGCAAUCCGGUGCAAGACGGGCUCGCGUCCGAUUAGGUAGUUGGAGGGGUAACGGCCCACCAAGCCUAUGAUCGGUAGCCGACCUGAGAGGGUGAUCGGCCACAUUGGAACUGAGAUACGGUCCAAACUCCUACGGGAGGCAGCAGUGGGGAAUAUUGGGCAAAUGGGGGAAACCCUGACCCAGCAACGCCGCGUGAAGGAAGAAGGUUUUCGGAUUGUAAACUUCUGUCCUUGGUGAAGAGAAGAAGACGGUAGCCAAGGAGGAAGCCCCGGCUAACUACGUGCCAGCAGCGGC